AUGGCGCGAAGCGUGCCGUACGUGUCGGCGGCGAAGCUGGUGUCCAUGGCGCGGGGGAACCGGGUGGCCAUCAUCGACGUCAGGGAUGAGGAGAGGAGCUAUCAAGCGCACAUCGCGGGGUCGCACCACUUCGCCAGCGGCAGCUUCGCGGCGCGGAUGCCGGAGCUAGUGCUGGCCACCAGCGGCAAGGACACCCUCGUCUUCCACUGCGCGCUCAGCCAGGUGCGAGGUCCGUCCUGUGCUCGGAUGUUUUCAGACUAUCUAUCAGAGUCCAAGGAAGAUUCGGGGAUAAAGAACAUCAUGGUGCUUGAACGUGGGUUCAAUGGAUGGGAGAUUUCUGGCCAACCCGUGUGCCACUGCAAAGAUGCUCCUUGCAAAGGCACAUGCUCUUGA
rnacentral:rRNA from 1 species